GGGUCUGUAGCUUAAAUGGUAAAGUUUCCCGAUCGCACCGGGGAGGAUGUCAGUUCGAUUCUGACCAGUAUCCA
rnacentral:tRNA from 1 species